AUUGAACGCUGGCGGCAUGCCUUACACAUGCAAGUCGAACGGCAGCACGGAAGCAAUCCUGGUGGCGAGUGGCGAACGGGUGAGUAAAGUAUCGGAACGUGCCCAGUCGUGGGGGAUAACGUAGCGAAAGUUACGCUAAUACCGCAUACGAUCUAUGGAUGAAAGCGGGGGAUCGCAAGACCUCGCGCGAUUGGAGCGGCCGAUAUCAGAUUAGGUAGUUGGUGGGGUAAAGGCUCACCAAGCCGACGAUCUGUAGCUGCUCUGAGAGGACGACCAGCCACACUGGGACUGAGACACGGCCCAGACUCCUACGGGAGGCAGCAGUGAGGAAUUUUGGACAAUGGGCGAAAGCCUGACCCAGCCAUGCCGCGUGCAGGAUGAAGGCCUUCGGGUUGUAAACUGCUUUUGUACGGAACGAAAAGGUUUGGCCUAAUAAGCUGAGCUCAUGACGGUACCGUAAGAAUAAGCACCGGCUAACUACGUGCCAGCCGCCGCGGUAA
rnacentral:rRNA from 1 species